rnacentral:rRNA from 1 species
UACGUAGGGCGCAAGCGUUAUCCGGAAUUAUUGGGCGUAAAGAGCUCGUAGGCGGUUUGUCGCGUCUGCUGUGAAAACUCGGGGCUUAACCCCGGGCCUGCAGUGGGUACGGGCAGACUAGAGUGCGGUAGGGGAGACUGGAAUUCCUGGUGUAGCGGUGAAAUGCGCAGAUAUCAGGAGGAACACCGGUGGAGAAGGCGGGUCUCUGGGCCGUAACUGACGCUGAGGAGCGAAAGCAUGGGGAGCGAACAGG